rnacentral:rRNA from 1 species
GUGUCAGCAGCCGCGCGGUAAUACGGAGGGUGCAAGCGUUAAUCGGAAUUACUGGGCGUAAAGCGUGCGUAGGCGGUUUAUUAAGUCAGAUGUGAAAGCCCCGGGCUUAACCUGGGAACUGCAUUUGAAACUGGUAAACUAGAGUAUGGUAGAGGAAAGUGGAAUUUCUGGUGUAGCGGUGAAAUGCGUAGAUAUCAGAAGGAACAUCAAUGGCGAAGGCAGCUUUCUGGACCAAUACUGACGCUGAGGUACGAAAGCGUGGGUAGCAAACAGGAUUAGAUACCCUGGUAGUCCACGCCGUAAACGAUGACAACUAGCUGUUGGAAGACAACGUCUUUCAGUGGCGCAGCUAACGUUUUAAGUUGUCCGCCUGGGGAGUACGCACGCAAGUGUGAAACUCAAAGGAAUUGACGGGGGCCCGCACAAGCGGUGGAGUAUGUGGUUUAAUUCGAUGCAACGCGAAGAACCUUACCAGGGUUUGACAUCCUGCGAAUCUCUUGGAAACAGGAGAGUGCCUUCGGGAACGCAGUGACAGGUGGUGCAUGGCUGUCGUCAGCUCGUGUCGUGAGAUGUUGGGUUAAGUCCCGCAACGAGCGCAACCCACGUCUUUAGUUGCCAGCAUUUAGUUGGGCACUCUAGAGAGACUGCCGGUGAUAAACCGGAGGAAGGUGUGGAUGACGUCAAGUCAUCAUGCCCCUUACAUCCUGGGCUACACACGUACUACAAUGCUACGGACAAAGGGCAGCAAGUUCGCGAGGACAAGCAAAUCCCAUAAACCGUGGCUCAGUUCAGAUCGUAGGCUGCAACUCGCCUACGUGAAGGCGGAAUCGCUAGUAAUCGCAGGUCAGCAUACUGCGGUGAAUACGUUCCCGGGCCUUGCACACACCGCCCGUCA